rnacentral:lncRNA from 1 species
AGCGUCUCCUCCGCUGUAUCAACGACCUAUGUCUCCCUUCAGCUUCGUACUCAGCUGUUUAAGACAUUUCCGUGUCGUUAAUCUUGCCCGUCGAUCCACUAAGCCUCCUUGUUACUGCUUGAGGUACUCGUCUCCCUUCAGCUGUUGCUUUGCUGUUUAAGACGUUCUCUCAUAUGUCUUUAGUUAGUCAUUCCGGUUAAUGUUUUGGUCUUUUCUCAGCUACUCCACCUUGAGCUGAGAACCUCCUUGUUUUAGAACUCCUUGCCUCGCAUCUUCCUAGCAGGUAACUUCCUUGUAACCAUUGAGCUUCCUUGUUAUCGAUAAGAAGUAAUUUGUUUGCUCUAACCUUAUUACUUCUUCUUGUGCGAGGUGAAUCGAUAACGAAGUUACCUGCCGUGCCGGUUUCUCAAGCUAUCUUGAGGAGUUCACAACAGAGAUCAAACUUUUGCCCUGGUAAGGCCUUAGUUAGAAAGUCUGCUGGGUUCUUGCUAGUAUGGAUUUUAGAUAGAGUAACACUGCCAUCUUCAACCACAUCUCUGAUGAAAUGAUAUUUAGUGUCAACAUGCUUGGUUCUUUCGUGAUGAACAUGAUUCUUUGCUAGGGCUAUAGCGCUUUGUGAAUCACAAUUAAUCUUGACACUUUCUUGAUCAAAACCGAGUUCCUUGCAUAGUCUUCUUAGCCAUAGAGCUUCUUUCGCAGCCGCAGUUAGUGCCAUGUACUCGGCUUCGGUUGUCGAAAGAGCUACUACGUCUUGUAACCCCGAUCUCCAGCUUACCGUAUUUCCCCAAAUUUGAAACACGUAUCCUGUGACUGACCUUCUUCUGUCAAGGUCUGUAGCAUAAUCAGAGUCACAAAAUCCCUCAAUGCUGAACUUCGAUCCUUUAGUAAACGUUAGACACCUUCCUGUUGCUCCUGUUAGGUACCUUAAAACCCACUUAGCAGCUGCCCAAUGUUCUCUUCCGGGUUCAGACAUGUAGCGGCUUAUCAAUCCAACAGCAAAACCUAGAUCAGGUCGGGAACCGACCAUUGCGUACAUUAUGCUUCCUACUGCACUUGAGUAUGGAACAUCUUCCAUAUGUUUUCUUUCCUCUUCCUUUUGCUCUGGUUUUAAACUUCUUAGUUUGAACUGAGAUGAAGUUGGUGUUACCACGGCCUUUGCAUCUGUCAUUCCAAAGGUUUCUACUACCUUUCGUAGAUAGCCUUCUUGUGAUAAUAUUAGGGUUCCCUUCGCUCUAUCUCUUAUGAUAUCCAUUCCUAAUAUUCUUGAUGCUUUUCCCAAGUCUUUCAUCUCGAAUUCCUUGCUCAAACUCUCUUUGAUGUUUCUGAUUUCUUGAUGAUCUCCUGAGGCAAUGAGCAUGUCAUCAACGUAUAGUAGUAAGAAUACAGCUUGUGGCGUCUUAACAUUCUUCAUAUAGACGCAUGGAUCUUCUUUGCUUCUUACGAAUUUUUGAGUCUUCAUGAAACAGUCAAACCUAUGAUUCCAUCGCCUUGGUGAUUGUUUGAGCCCAUAUAAGGAUUUCUUAAGCAAGCAAACUUUGUUCUCAUCCCCUUUCUUAACAUAGCCUUCAGGUUGCUUCAUCAGAAUUCUUUCUUCUAGAUCCCCGUGUAAGAACGCCGUCUUCACGUCCAUUUGCUCGAGCUCGUAGUCGUUGUUAACCACAAGUGAGAGCAUUAUGCGAAUUGAUACAUGUUUCACCACCGGAGAAAACACUUCGUUGUAAUCAAUCCCUUCUUGUUGUGAGAAACCCUGAGCUACCAAUCUCACUUUAUAUCUCGGUUCUUCUACUCCUGGUAUCCCGGGUUUUAACUUGAAAAUCCACUUGCACCCUACUACUUUUGCAUUCUCAGGUUUCUCUAUCAAGAUCCACGUUCGAUUUCGUUGGAGUGAGUCCAUUUCUUCAUCUGCUCCAUUCUUCCAUAGCUUUUGUUUCUUGCUCGUCAUAGCUUCAGUGAAGGUUUUAGGCUCCUCAAUUUCUAACUCGUCUGCUGCGGCUAGUGCAUAGGCUACGAAAUCUUCAUCUUCAAAUCUUGAUGGUGGUUUUAUUUGCCUUCUAACUCGGUCCCUUGCCAGCAUAUACCCAUCGAGAUUUGUUUCUGCGUUUGAAACAGUCUCGUCUUCUUCCUCGGUCAUGCUGUCGUCUGAGCUGUUUGACGUUUCCGGUAAGAUAGAUACUCCACCUGGAGCUGUUAACUCCUCGUCAUCGGCAUUUGAAGGAGUUGGUCCGUCUAUCAAAUUUUCUUUGAACGUCACUCGCUUAACUCUCUUUUCUUUUGCGUCUUUUUCAACGCCUUCAACUUCAGUGCCUUUCUUAGGAUCUUGUAUCGUGUGUUUGUAGAGUUCUUCUUCAUUGAACACAACGUUCCUACUAGUGUCACAUCUUCUAUCUUCUUCAAUCCACACACGAUAUCCCUUAGUACCAAACGGAUAUCCCAUAAAUACUCCUUUUAUGGCCCUUGGACUUGUUUUUGCUUGAACUUUAUGAACAAAAGCCGAACACCCGAACCUCUUAAGGUUGCUCAGGUCGCACUUAGUACCUGUCCAUCUCUCCUCAGGUAGUUCAUAAUCAAUUGCAGAGUUAGGAGAUCGAUUUAUCACAUAUGUGGCCGUUGAAGCAGCUUCGGCCCAGAACUCUUGCCCUAACCCUGUCUCCACGAGCAUGCACCGAACCUUGUCCAUGAUUGUUCGGUUCAUUCGUUCUGAAACCCCGUUUUGCUGCGGAGUAUAUGGACAAGUCUUGUGUCUCUUAAUGCCUGAGUCUUUGCAAAGUUUAUCAAACUGCUGAUUGCAAAACUCAAGGCCAUUAUCUGUUCGUAGGCACAUUAUUUUCUUCUUCGUUUGAUUUUCGACAGCUUCUUUCCACUCCUUGAAUUUGCUGAAGGCUUCAUCUUUCGUUUUAAGAAAAUAAAUCCAAACCUUUCGAGAGUAAUCAUCUAUGAAGCUUAUGAAAUAUUUACUUCCGGAUAGACUUUCUGGAGUUGAUGGAGCUCCCCAUAAAUCUGAAUGUAUGUACUCGAGAAUGCCUUUAGUGGUGUGCUUUGCAGCGGGGAAGCUCUGCUUAUGAGAUUUUCCAAGGACGCACGUCUCACAGAACUCAAACUUGUCCACUUCCUUCUUCGGUACGUAGCCCUUUUCUACUAACACAUUCAGAUGCUUUAAACUUAUAUGACAUAACCGAGAAUGCCAUAUAGUUGUUUUGUCUAUCUCUGCCUUUGACACGUUAACUUCUCCUUUGGAUACGGUCCCUUGUAAGUAGUAUAGACCUUCGUUGAACUUCCCUGAUAUGACCUCCUUCCCGUCCUUGUAGAACCUGAUCAUAAAGUCUUUCCCUUCAUAUUGGCAUCCAGACCGCUCAAGCAUCCCAUAAGAUAUCAAGUUCCGGCUCAUAGUCGGCAUGUAUCUCACAUCCUUGAGAACCACCACGGUUCCAUCGGGUCUCACGAUCCUUAUUUUACCAAUACCUUUUACAUCACAGUGUGUAUUGUUUGCCAUUAGAACUCUGCCACCUUCGAAUUCUUCUAGGUCAAACAAGACAUCUUUGUUUGGAGUGAUGUGGAAAGAACAUCCUGAGUCCAUUACCCAUUCUUCUUUUGUGUCUUUAGUACUUACAGUUAGUACUAAGGGUUGUUUCGGUUCCUCAGCUAUAUUAGCGGACUUGUAUGACUUCUUAUCUGGACACUCUCGCUUCCAAUGUCCCUCCUUGCCGCAUAUGAAACAACCUUUAUUGUUUUUGUCAUACUUCGGCCUAGAUUUAGAUCUCCCAUACCUGCUCUUAGACCUUCCUUUCCCAUUACCGUUGCCUCCUUUGCUUGAUCGGUUAGACGAUCUUCCUCUAUCCUCAACAUAUAAGCCCUCAUCUUGAGACUUAGAUAGCUUACCACUUUCCAAUAACUCUCUCUCCUUAGAUCGUGCAGCCCCGGUUACUUCGUUAAUCUUGAGAGUGUCUCUACCGUAUUUGAGGGUCUCCUUGAGUUGAUCAUAUCGCUGAGGCAUUGAGUUUAGUAGUAGUAUAGCUUGAACUUCUUCAUCAACCUCCACGUUCAAGUUAUUUAAAUCUGCCACUAGCUUUAGGAAGUCAUCAACGUUUGCAUCAAUAGUUUUUGAAUCGUUCAUCUUGAAAGUGUAAAAUUUGUGUUGCAGGUAAAUACGAUUCGGCAAGGACGUCUCCGUGUACAGCGUGUUGAGAGCUGUCCACAUUGCAGCAGCCGUAUCACAGUUGCAGAUCUUCCUUAGGACUUGGUUUCCUACAUUCACAACAAUGAGAUCUUUCGCUUUCUCUGAUUUCCCGAGCUUAACGGGAUCAAUGGUAGGGAUAGCUUCAGCUUCUUUCUUCUCCGUGUCCUUCAAGGUAUCAUCUCCUUCUUCCUUGGUGACUGGUGAAUCCAUUAGAAGCUUCUCAUCUGUUAGGAUAUCCUUUAGCCCUAGGACACCAAAGUGAGCCAUCAUCCGAACCUUCCAUAGCAAAAAAUCUCCUGUUCCAUCGAACCGAUCUAUGUCGAUCCUCUCAAUCUUUGGUUUAGUCAUUCUUGUUCAAGCACCCUUGCAAUCAAAACCUGGAUUGCUCUGAUACCACUUGUAAGGAAUUAACCUACUUGUGCUUUAAGAACUUAGAACAAGAAUGUGACCAAAAACGUAUUCUCUUUAUUUAAUAUGAAACCAAACUUGUAUGUCUCAAUAGAAAGCUUAGAUCACAAGACAAAAGACUCUAACUCUUGAAUUAUAUCUCUCUCUAUUGCUUAGACCCGUAAUGACUAACCUCAACCUAAAGCUCUAUUUAUAACCCUUUGUAAGUUCCUGGUUAUCAUAGGCUUAUGACAAAUUUCCUAUUUCUAUAUGACUUCGUACAAGUAACCGACUAUGUCGUAAAAGGAAAUAACGUAAACUUCUCUUGUGACAGGAUCUGAAUAUUGGGCUGGAGAGUUUAAUCAAUUGUGGCCCAUUAGUUUCUACAAAACAGAACACUUGACGCUUCAUUAACGUGUCACACAAGUAAAUCAAUAAGAUGAAUAUCACAAUGAUUAUGCCAUAAACAAUACCCAAAAGU